ensembl:lncRNA
AUGAUUCAUGGGGACCAUGAAAUUCAGAGACCAGAAGUCCUCCGUUUAAAGAAGAGCCAUCUCCUUACUAACUUGACCCAUAGUGCAUUUCAGCUCUGGUGUCUUCAUCUCUAAAAUGGGAAAGGUGAUACCUCUUUGUGCUCUGUCACAGGUUGUGAAAAGCUGUGUGAAAAUCCACGGCCAACAUUAAAGUCAUAGGAGGAUGUCCGUUAUGAUGAGCGUUGAAAGAGGUAGGCGUGGUUCGCUCCGGACACACUUGAAUAAAAAGGCCAAAUGGUUCUGGCCAUGGUCGUCCAAUGCCAUCAUGCUUGGUCUUCCUGGGUCCUGGAUUCUAUUCAUUAAAGUCCGUUUCCUGUGGACCAUGAGACUAUAGGAAAGCUUGGUUUCAGCUCACGUUGGAACCGACAAUGUAGAUGAGGGUAAAAUAAAACUCUGGAGGUGCAAGUAGGUGGAAUUUUUAUCUGAGAAAUGAUCUGGCACGACCACAUUUGCCAUGGCAUCCGGUUUAAGUUAAGCAGCUAGCUAAGGGUUGACAUUAUAUCUUUAAAUAAGAGGUAGUUGCAGUUUUGGCAGCGAGGGCGGCGGCAGAGGAACAGAAGGCAUUAUCUGAAGACAUUGGUGGGAGGGGGCUUGGAUUUGAUCUAAGAAGAUGAGGCUGCAGAGUUUUCAAUGGCUUUGUCAAGUAUUUUGUUUACAUUAGUAGGUAGAUGAUGAACAGGUUAGGAGCCCAUGGGAGUCCCCAAGAGAGCAAGUAAAAGGCAGGAAAGGGCAGAUGGUGAGAUGAAGGGGAAAAAAGCAGACUCUGCACAUAUUACAGUUUUAGAAAGAGGAGACGUGGACAGAGUGGGAACAUCCCAAAUAAUCACAAUCAUCACAUCCAAAGAAAUAAACCAAUAAUGGUUGAAAACAGAUGCCAGUUAACACAACAGUUGGGAAUAAAAGGUUAACACGUGUGUUGAAACAAGUUCAGCAGACCUCCCCAUGCAGGGAAGAGUUUGGGUGGACAGGCAGCGGAUGACCUAGAAGCUGGGGUCAUUUAGAGGGUACUUGAGUGGAUGGACACUUGGGGAUAUAUUUUGAGAAACAGAGUCACAAACACCCUGGUAAGAAGUAAGGCUCAUGAAAUCCUACCAGGUUGGUAGAACUCAAGGUUUAGCCCAUCUCUGUGGAACAGGAGCUGACAGGAGCCACCUAACCCAUUGCAGGCUAGAAAAGAAGGCAGUCCUUUCAAAGGGAUCGUCAUUGGAUGGCUGCCCCCUGCUGGAAGCAGCUGCCUUGACUCCCAAAGGUGAGGGGGAGAGAGCAGAAAAAAAAUUUUUUUGACCUAUUAAAAUCAAUAAUCCUAGGAUCCUAGUGGGUCCGAAUGCAUUUGAAUAGUAUAUUAAAAUUAGCAAAAUUGUUUUUAAAAACCUACUGAUGUGGGUCACCCAAGCAGCAUGCUCCCAGUUGUUAAUAAUUAAUACAGAGCAUCCCAGGGAGGCAUGGCUGUGGAUAAUUGUAGGCAGUAAGCAUGAGGCUGGCAGCCCAGUGUGCUGCGGGUCAGAAAAGGGCAGCAGGGAGCGAAUCAUACAUCAAGCCGGUGCCAGCAGCCAGGUAUCGGUGGUCUGCUUCCUUUGGCUCUACUUAUUCUUCUGAUGGGAAAGCCUUCUAAACAAGGCUGUGAAUUGGUUUUCAUGCUCGCAUUGACAGAUUGGGAAAGCAGUUUGUUCUACCAAAUUUAACAAUGAUAUAUCAUUAUCACAACUUUGGGGGAAAUCUAUAAAAUCAAUAAGUUUGUAGCCUGAACAGGAUUUGUAUCGCUUGCUUGCUGUGCUGGUGUCAAAGCGUGAGCAUAUGGAUUGAGUCACAGCCUGAGAUCAAUGGAAUUUGUGGACAGUGAGCUCAAUAACAAGCCCUUCUGAAAAGAAAUAGAUGU